rnacentral:rRNA from 1 species
AGAGUUUGAUCCUGGCUCAGAUUGAACGCUGGCGGCAUGCCUUACACAUGCAAGUCGAACGGUAACGCGGGGGCAACCCUGGCGACGAGUGGCGAACGGGUGAGUAACACAUCGGAACAUAUCCAGUAGCGGGGGAUAACCUAUCGAAAGAUGGACUAAUACCGCAUACGAUCUACGGAUGAAAGCAGGGGACCGCAAGGCCUUGCACUAUUGGAGUGGCCGAUGUCGGAUUAGCUAGUUGGUGGGGUAAAGGCUUACCAAGGCGACGAUCCGUAGCUGGUCUGAGAGGACGAUCAGCCACACUGGAACUGAGACACGGUCCAGACUCCUACGGGAGGCAGCAGUGGGGAAUUUUGGACAAUGGGCGCAAGCCUGAUCCAGCCAUGCCGCGUGAGUGAAGAAGGCCUUCGGGUUGUAAAGCUCUUUCGGUGAAGACGAAACGGUUAGCGCUAAUAACGCUGACUAAUGACGGUACUCACAGAAGAAGCACCGGCUAACUACGUGCCAGCAGCCGCGGUAAUACGUAGGGUGCAGGCGUUAAUCGGAAUUACUGGGCGUAAAGCGUGCGCAGGCGGUUUGCUAAGACAGGUGUGAAAUCCCCGAGCUUAACUUGGGAAUUGCGCUUGUAACUGGCAAGCUAGAGUGUGGCAGAGGGGGGUGGAAUUCCACGUGUAGCAGUGAAAUGCGUAGAUAUGUGGAGGAACACCGAUGGCGAAGGCAGCCCCCUGGGUUAACACUGACGCUCAUGCACGAAAGCGUGGGGAGCAAACAGGAUUAGAUACCCUGGUAGUCCACGCCCUAAACUAUGUCAACUAGUUGUCGGGGAAGAAAUUCCUUGGUAACGAAGCUAACGCGUGAAGUUGACCGCCUGGGGAGUACGGCCGCAAGGUUAAAACUCAAAGGAAUUGACGGGGACCCGCACAAGCGGUGGAUUAUGUGGAUUAAUUCGAUGCAACGCGAAAAACCUUACCUACCCUUGACAUGCUAGGAAGCCCGCAGAGAUGUGGGUGUGCCCGAAAGGGAACCUAGACACAGGUGCUGCAUGGCUGUCGUCAGCUCGUGUCGUGAGAUGUUGGGUUAAGUCCCGCAACGAGCGCAACCCUUGCCAUUAGUUGCUACAUUUAGUUGGGCACUCUAUGGGACCGCCGGUGACAAACCGGAGGAAGGUGGGGAUGACGUCAAGUCCUCAUGGCCCUUAUGGGUAGGGCUUCACACGUAAUACAAUGGUCGGUACAGAGGGCUGCCAACCCGCAAGGGGGAGCUAAUCCCAGAAAGCCGAUCGUAGUCCGGAUUGUAGUCUGCAACUCGACUGCAUGAAGCCGGAAUCGCUAGUAAUCGCGGAUCAGCAUGUCGCGGUGAAUACGUUCCCGGGUCUUGUACACACCGCCCGUCACACCAUGGGAGUGGGUUCCACCAGAAGUAGUUAGCCUAACCGCAAGGAGGGCGAUUACCACGGUGAGAUUCAUGACUGGGGUGAAGUCGUAACAAGGUA